rnacentral:rRNA from 1 species
GUGGGGAAUAUUGCACAAUGGGCGAAAGCCUGAUGCAGCAACGCCGCGUGAGGGACGACGGCCUUCGGGUUGUAAACCUCUUUUAGUAGGGAAGAAGCGAAAGUGACGGUACCUGCAGAAAAAGCACCGGCUAACUACGUGCCAGCAGCCGCGGUAAUACGUAGGGUGCAAGCGUUAUCCGGAAUUAAUGGGCGUAAAGAGCUCGUAGGCGGUCUGUCGCGUCUGCUGUGAAAACUGGAGGCUCAACCUCCAGCCUGCAGUGGGUACGGGCAGACUAGAGUGCGGUAGGGGAGAUUGGAAUUCCUGGUGUAGCGGUGGAAUGCGCAGAUAUCAGGAGGAACACCGAUGGCGAAGGCAGAUCUCUGGGCCGUAACUGACGCUGAGGAGCGAAAGCGUGGGGAGCGAACAGGAUUAGAUACCCUGGUAGUCC